UUUUUAAAAUUGGGUAUGACUCAUAAAAUUGUUAAUAAUGUAGUUCCAAGUUAUUUAGAAAAUUAUUUUUACAUGGUGAGACAACAGCAUUCCUAUGGUACUAGGGGUAGAAAUUUUAAUAUUUGUCCAUACAAAUUGAAAAGUUUGGUAGGGAAGAAUACUUUUCUAUAUACACUCAAAAAAAUGAUUCUUGCCACUAUUUGAAAUUAAGCAAAAAAAUCUAAUAAAACAUAUUUAAAAACUAAUAAAAAUACCUAUUAUUACUCCAAAUUACUUUUAUACAAUAUGAAUGAAAUGGAUACAAGACCAACCUGAUCAAAUUACAUAAACUAUACUUAAUUUGUUGCCAUAAGGCGCAAAUGCAAGUGUUGCGCAUGCUCACUGAAGUCUGAGUUCAAAAAACAACAUCUGAAGGCGCAAUGGCGAUCUACUGUCUGACUCAGCGAAAAGGAGGAUUUGGAUGAAUAGAUGUGGAUGUUUUACAAGAAACCUCAUCAGUGGGACAAUAACUCAAUUAUGAUAUGUGAGUUUUGUGGAAACGUAAAGUGUGUGGAAGAAGCAUCACAGAAGUAUCCAAUAUGUUUAAGUAACUGAAACAUUCUAAGAUUAAACUUGGACAUUUUGAGGAGAGAUUCAGUCAACCUGUUCACAGUAAAUUAAAUAAAAGCGGAAUUAAUGCGGAUAACGACUGUGCCACUUCUGUCAACGUUCAUAGCAGCUGGACAGAUACACUGUUAAUCAAAUUAAAGUUUUCAGCAGCAAAGGAGCUUCUGGACAAAAGAUAUCACACACAUUGCAGUUGCAGACAAGUGCGAAGAUAUACACUUCAAAUGAGACUGUGUUAUAAAGAGUCUGUGUGUGUAUCUCAAUGGGGACAUUACAACACUUCCAGUUCUCCAGAAUUCUUCCAGAAUUCCAGGACUGCAAUCCUGAAGGAACUGAUGGAGGAAUUUCUGAGACUACUCUGGGCCAUUUUGUGACCCUUAAAGAAAGCGCUGAGGAUGAGCCAGUGGAUGUUGGUGUAGCAACAGAGGGUUUAAAACUACUACAACACUUAGGAGUUUUUCCUUUGGAUGCUGUUUGCUGUUUGGAUUGAUCUACGCAAUCAAGCUAUGCUCCGAGUCUCAAAUUCACUUUUGAAUUCUUCCAGAAGGUACUGAUGAAUUUAGAUUUUAGGACAUCACAUAGAUGUUUCGAUCCACUGGAAGGACUUAGAAACUUUGAAACCUAAGAAACAUUGAAUUGAAGACUAUGAUCGAUGACACUAUGAACCAAUGACACUAACUCAAAUCAAGAGACUACAUCUAAUGCACCUUAUGGCUUCCUCUAACUCUGAUAUUUUUAAAGGGUUAAUUCACCUAAAAAUGAAAUUUCUGUCAUUAAUUACUCACCCUCAUGUCGUUCCACACCCGUAAGACCUUUGUUCAUCUUUGAAACACAAAGUAGGUUAUUUUUGAUGAAAUCCGUGAGCUAUCUGACCUCAGAUAGACUGCAACACAACUACCACUUUCAAGACCCAGAAAGGUAGUAAAGGCAUUGUUAAAAUAGUCAAUGUGACUGCAGUGGUUCAACCUUAAUGUUAUGAAGUGACAAGAAUACUAUUUGAGUGCAAAAAAAAAAAAACGACUCUCUUUCCUUCUAUGUCAGUCUCCUACGCAGUUGACGUUGUACACACAUAAUAUCUUAAUUUGUGUUCUGAAGAUUAAUCAAGGUCUUAGGGGUUUGGAGCAAAAUUAGGGUGAGUAAUUAAUGAAAGAAAUUAAAUUUUUGGGUGAACUAACCCUUUAACAGAGAUGUUAGCCCUUGUGCUAUUCCUUGUCCAGGAAGUUAACUUGUGAGUAGGACACUUGGGCUGCUGAAUGUCUAAAUGCUGAAAUGUGACAGAUAACAGAAAACCUGUUAUAUGUAAAGUCAAAUAUAAUUCCUCAGAUUGCUUUUCUUUUUUCCCCAAGUGUCCUGAUUGUUUUUUGUUUUUUUUUACACAUUUACAAGGAAUGUAACCAUUUACUGUUAUGUUUCAAGUUUCAGACAAGCAAAAGCACAAACUGACUACCAUACUAUGCAGAGAGAUCGCAAUGUUACCUUAAAUAUAUGAAAAUAAUGCUUGAUGUUGAAAUUUGGUUCCUUGUUGAUCUAUGAACUUUUUGGCACUCAGACUUAAAACUAAAAAGUCAAACAAGGAGCCAUAACCAUUGUGUUAGUUUCGGAGAAAGCACAAAACUGCUGUAAACUGUUGUCUUAACUUGUGAAAUACUGCAUUAUGUUCUAUUUUUUGUCAGAUUGGAUGUUUCUUAUUAUUCCUGCAGCAAUUGAGACAAUAAAUUUUUAUGAAUGUAA